CCGAGGUAGGCAUUAUGGUGUUUUUUGGCACUGUGGCCAAAAAACGUUGCCUACUCCUGUUCUACAGCCAGACAUGGCUACAGCCAAAAAUACUCUCUGGUAUUUCACAGAUACUUAAAUUGGGACAAUGGAUGUCCCAAUAUGAGUCUAUAGGAUCCCACGAUAAAAGGCUUUGUUGUGGAGAAAUCCGUGUCUGUUUUGAAUGCAGGCACUGAGGGCAAUAUGUGUUAACACAGUUCCUGGGGACAGUCUAGGCCAUUGUCUCCCAACCUCGGGGUGCAACCCAAAUCAGGAUCUCAGGGGAUCUGCCCCUUGCUCCGCCCCUCCUGUCUGUGGGACCUGGCACACGGUUUGCUCAGCUCUCGCCGCUGCUGCCCCCCAUGAUCCUGGCCCAGCUGGUGGCCCCGGGCAUAAGUGAGUCGGGAGCAGGGGUUGUGACCUGGAUUUAGGGUUGCAGGAAAAAAAGUUUGGGAGCUACUGAUCUAGGCUCACUUAAGUUGAUUGCCUGAAUAGUCAAUCCAGAGCUGUGCUGCUCUUUUUCUUUUGUCCCAGGUAUUGACUCAGAUCAGUCUGUGUUUUAGCCUUGAAGUUCAGUCUGCCUUCUCUUUUCAUACAGCCCUCUCUCCCUGCCUAAAUCACUGUUUUCAUCCUGCUGAACACCACUUUGAUUUCUGUUAUUUUAUUUCUAUGUGGAGUGCCUGAGCUGGAAUGUACCAUUUAACAAUUGUGGAGGCCUAAUAAAGAAAAAUUAUUUGGGUAAGUGUGGUAGCUUCUCUUCCACCCAGGAGAGCGCACAAACACCAGCAGGCUCUCCCUAUGCCUAAAGAAGUGUUUGUGCCUGGAAGCUUGUAAAGAACAAGUUUUCCAACUAUUUGUUUCGUCUAAUAAAAGAUGCCACACUUACCCAGAGGACCUUGUCUGCCUAUGUCGUUAGACCAGUAUGUUUAUAGCCAACACUGCUGAAGGCCUAAUAAAGGCCUUUUAAAAAAUAUCUGGACAUUUGAUGUCCUUUGUCCACCUAAUGCUCAGCAGAGGUUUUCACUGUACUGUCAAUAAUCAUGCCCAAGUUCCUUUUCUGCUAAUCUAGUGUAGGGGUGCUCACCCCACCACUCCCAGCCUGUGGGUCCUGUCUGGCACCAUGUCAUCCAGCCAAUGGUGUUUAUUCCCCAUAGGUCCUUGGGAAGCCUUGUGCACGAGGUUGGGUUCACAGUGCCUAGCCCUAGCAUGCAAGGAGCAACACCCUGCUACUCAUCUGGCCUGUGGGGUCAAAAGGUUAAGCACCACUAAUUUAGUAGAUGGUAUUGUGCAUGAUUAAGGCAGAGCAUCAUUUGUGUCUUAAACUGCAUUUUCCCCACUUAUUUAAUUAAUCUCUUAUCCUAUUGUUGAUUCAUUUAACUUAGAUCUCUUAAGUACCUCACUUAGAUUUAAAGUAUUGGAGAGUACUUUCAUGAUGCUCGCUCUCCCUUUUCCACCAUGUGGAGGAGCAGAUGCGCGCACAGUUUGAUUGAUCUGGUACAGGCAUCAACCAUCAAAAGCUAUAAUGGUCUUAUCUGUAUAAAGGAUUAUCAUACUCUUUUCUGUACAGUUUGAAACUGCAUUCCUGACAACUAUGUCAAUAUAUGAACACCAAUCUUUUUACAAUGUAGGAUGCUUAUGAUACACAUCAGUACUUUCAGACAUGCUGUGAUGCUAAACUUGGUCUUGUAAGGACUGGGAUUUUUCAUACCUCUUCAUGCCAUCAGUUCUAGAAUGGAAGCACUGGUAUAGAUGGGUCUGCUGCUCUGAGCAGAAUUAGAUAAUGUUGUUUGUCACCAGUGGAGCUGAGCCCAUGGAACAUCCUUGGGGAAUGUGGGUUUUCUUAUGACCCAUCUUGAGAGAACGGCUAGUGCAGAUGUAGCAUUCACUUUUUGCUUUGAAAAGCAUGUAUUUGCAAAGCUGUUGUUAGUGUAACAGAAAAAUACUGGAGCCUUGUUUAGCAAGACUGCUGGGCUCUGCACCAUGUCUUGUACAUCCACUUGUCCAUUCUACACUUAAGUUGCUUGAAGUUUAAAUUCUGUUUAUAGGCAUGUGACUGAGAGGUUUCCUGUGUUGGAUGCCAAGCAGCUGUAAAAUUGCAUGUGCACCAUGUAAAUUGUGACAUCCUUUUCAUCAUGGUUCAGGAAGAACCUUUAGCUGAGAAGUUGAAUCAGAAAGGCUCACUUUAAAAACGCAGAAGUAAACUGGAGUAUUUUAGGCAAUGCCAAGUAUCUGUAGUAGAUUCAAAGCUUUUCUGAGAGGAGGAGCUCCAGCUAGAAUGUUGGUGGUGGUCAGCGCUGCUGUUAGAAAGUGAAAAUCUAGCAAGUAAAAUUAAACAAACCUUCUGAUCUCUUACCAUUCACCUUUGUUAUGUAUCAGAAAAAAAAAGUAAUGUUGGCUGAGCACAUGAAAGGGAAGCUUUUUUGUGGGGUUUUUUAUCACACUGCAAAAUGACAGUAUACUUACAGCUGUUUGAAAUAUAAAGAUGUGAAAGAGAGAGGAGAUUUAUGAAUUCACCUAAUUAAAAUGUAUUAGUAGGGCUUUUUUUGGAAAUUAUAUGAAUUAUAAGCACUAAGCUAAAAACCUUUCAGUUGCUAGUAGUUAUGCAGGUCUUUUCUCCAAAAUAUUUGUACAGCACUGAGGUGAAAUAUAAUUCUAAAAGUUGUAGAAUUCAUGUGUAGGCAUUCUUAUUGUGCAAACCCUCUCUUGAAUAUUUAAAACUGAUGGACAGUGUCAUCACUGGACCAUCUUCCGUUCUGUCUGUCCUCAGUCACAAAAGCUGUUUCAUCAUUGCUAGAGUGUAGCAGUGCUAGUUACAGGGGUUUAGGCUGUAGCCGUGUUGGUCUAAGGACAUAGGCAGACAAGGUUGCUUGGGUGAAUUUAAUAUCUUUUAUUAGACCAACCCAAAUAGUUGGAGAACAUUUAUUAAGCAAGCUUUCGGGUUCAAAAACCCUUUGUCAGGCUAAGGAAGUUUCAGGAGUUGCACGCUCUUCCUGGAUGGAAUGAAAAGUAAAGAAGCCAGGGGCUGGGCUGGGCUGGAGAGUCAGUUGCCAAGCAAAUUAUAGUGUAUCAAAAAUCCAAUGUCUAUGUUUAGUCCCUGAUCUCUAGUAUCCAGGAGGUUGAUGAAAUGGAGCUCAUAGGCUCGUCUCUGGGAAGUGUUGUGUAAGUUUCCCUUGAGGAUCAGGACUGAGAGACUGGAGAGAGAGUGGCCCUCCUGUGAGAAAUGUGCCCCCACCAGUAAUUGGGUAUUUCUGUCUUUGAUAGAUUUCCAGUGUGCGUUCGUUCUGGUGUGCAGUUGUUGUUUGGUGUCUCCUACGUAUUUUCCAUCAGGGCAUUUAGUGCAUUGGAUGAGGUGUAUUACAUUUCUGGAGGUGCAGCUGUAAGAUCCUGGGAUGCUGAUGGCUCUGUUGUAGGGUGUAGUAAUUGUGGGGGUGGUGGAGAUGUGUUGGCAGGUUUUGCAUUUCUUUUCAUGGCACGGUCUGGAUCCUUUUGGUGUGUUCUGGGCUUGAGGAAGUUUGCUUCUGGUGAUGAGGUUGGCGAGGUUUGGUGCUUGUUUAAAGGCUAGGAUGGGUGGCUCUGGGAAGAUCUUUUUAAGAAUAGGGUCUCUGUCUAGUAUGGGUUGCAAUUUUUUGAGGAUUUUCCGUACAGGUUCAAGGGAGGGGUGAUACGUCAUAACCCGUGGUGUGCGAUUUGUGGGGGGUUUUCUUCUGUACUGCAGCAGUUCUUCACGUGGUAUCCAGGUGGCACUUCAAGCAGUGCUAGUUACAAAGAUGAUGCAAAAUGUCUAUCCAGACACAAGUUCUAUCUAACUGAAGAUGCCUGUCAGCUGUGAAAAGGCCAAGACUGGAAAUUACAUGAAAACUGAAGCAUUAUUUGGAGGUGCUCCUUCCAGGACAAAGCUGAAACUUGCCCCUCAGAGAAUGGUCUUUGAUAACUCAUCACUUAGUUUCGGCACUCGAGUGAAAUGGUUUGCGAUAUGCUUUGUUGGUGGCAUCGUAUGUUCCAUUCUUGGGACAGCACUGUUAUGGCUUCCAUCAGGACUGAAAUGGUUUGCUGUUUUCUAUACCCUAGGAAAUGUUGCUGCAUUAGCCAGUACAUGCUUCCUGAUGGGACCUAUGAAGCAGCUGAAAAAAAUGUUUGAGCCAACAAGACUAAUUGCAACACUCGUUAUGCUGUUUUCUUUUAUAUUCACACUCUGUGCUGUGUUCUGGUGGGGUAAGAAAGGUUUGGCCCUGCUAUUCUGCAUAUUGCAGUUCUUUGCAAUGACAUGCUGGGACCAAAGGUACUUCUCAGAAAAGCACUAUUGUCCUCCGUUGGAAGCAGGAGCUAUGGAGGUGUCAAAGGAAUUCAAAGGUCAAGGUGUAUCUACUUGAGAUAUUUUCUGACAUCCAAGAAAGACAAGGAAUUUCAUCUAGUGUGGGCUCUUUGGCAGCACAACAUGUUUAUUGGAAAGUUCUGUUUCCUCAUGUUGACACUAGCAGCUCUCAUACCUCUCCUGCUCCUUUCCUGUGGCUCCUCAUUGGGUUUGUUUGAGGUUCUGUGUGCAGUUGGGGGCUCAUUUGUAGGUAAAGUUUCUGUGUUUUUUAAAACAUCCUCUGUGCCUGGUACGUGGGAAGGGCUGGAGUGGAUAGUCUCGUGGCCUGUUUUAAACUAAAUGUCUGUGACAUGGCUAUAUGUAGUCCCAGAGAAUUUGACUUGAUAGACCAGGUAGCUCCUCCCAGUCCUAUAUUUCUGUGCUCCUGUGCCCUCUCUUUUUGACCUAGGUCGUUUUGUAGCUUGUGACUUGAAAUAAUGUGUAAUUGUGUAUCUCUCUUAGACCCAGACACUGCAAGUACCUUGUGUUAUGAUACAACCACUUUUAAUGCAAAUCAAGCCUUAUGACUUAUCUAAUGACCCACUGAUGUUUAGUGCCUACUCAUGGUAGCCAUGCAUUUGAGAUGCUAGUGUCUUUUUACUUGUUUAGACAACUGGUUGAACAGAGACUUUCAGCAGUCAUUGUUAGCACCACUGCUCACCAGAUAGCGCUUAGGGAUGUGAAAUAUGAACACGGACAAUUCGGUGUCCUAAAAUCAAAGACUAACUUUGUUAAGAUAACAUUUGUUGUACUAAUAGUUUCUAUAUACAGAGAGAGAAGAACAUUCAGUACAAUAAUCUCACCCAAUCCCAGAUGUUACUUUGCUGAACAGAAAAGACAGCCACUCGGUUCCUCAAAACAAAGGGUGCAUUGUUGGCAGGUUCAGUCCAGGCAGGUAUUAAAGGUUGGAUUUAUGCCAACGACAACACCUAGCUUCCUUGCUGCCCUCUUUUAUGCUUUUCUUCAACGUCACUCCUUCAACGACUCUUUGCUUUCAGAUUUGUCUCUCUGUAGUCAGCAUAGUGUCCAUAUUUUAUCCUGUCUGCAUAUCCCUUUGUUCAACAGACCCAUCACGAGCACGCCUCUUAGUUUGGCCUUUUUCCUGUGUCUUACUGUGCGCAGUGUCUAUUGAUUUCCCUUACCACCUUUCAUUAACAUAUCCAACCAUUUCACCCCUUUGAUUCAACUGGCUAGUGCCAAAUUCAGUUAAUCUGAGCUGGUAACAAGGCCAUUGCUGUGUUAACGUUAGAAGAACUUCUCACAGUGAUAAAAAGGAAAAGAUAUAAUGAGCAAGCACUAUGAGCUCUACAAAAGCAACUCAAGGCCAGCUGAUCAACAGUAAUGAGGCUAUACAAAACUUGAGCAAUGAUUAAAUAAGGCUGAACAUAAAAAAGUUUAAACAAUAUGUAAAUCCACCACUCUAUAAGCAUAAAAUAUGACAAGCUACCCUAACAGUCAUACUUUACACAUGUUCCCUCUUUUUGAGAUUAGGAGUCAUGCUACUUUUGAAAAUGAUCCCUGUUCAUAGGUGCAGUUCUCAACUCUUACAAGUAGAGCAGUUUUUCCAGUAGAGAUUUUGGAAGCUCAGGUGAUUAAAAACCUAAAAUUCCCCCUCAGUCUCAUAAACAGCAGUAUGGAGAAGACACUGAAUCUAGAAAUGAAGGUUUCUUACUUGUAGCCAGAGUUCUUACAGAGGGACUCUGCAUAUUCACAUUCCCCAUCCCCUCUUCCUAGGAGUUCUAAUAGCAUCUUGAUUUUGAGGAGCUGGAAGAAACUGAGGCAGCAGAGGGCAGCAUGUCUCAUUGUAUAGCCCAGGCCUCAGCACAAUCAGGAAUACAGAGGAAAAGAAUAGGAGGGUGGGUGCCUGAGUACCCUAACAAGUAUGCUAUGAAACUGUCCCACCUUCUGCAUUGACUGGCCUUUCUGUGAGCACGGAUACACAGAGGCCAUCUUGAACUCAGGUUAUGGAUAGGUAACUAUUUAUUUUGCAAUAGAUCCUGUUCAACAUGGUACUGGACCCAAGUAAAUGCCUUAUACUUAGGAAGAACAAUAACAAAGUUGUGGCUUUUGGCUAUAAAAUCCAUCCUUGGAUCUGAGCAGGAAAGGUAUAGUCUGUCAUACAUUCCUUAUGCAAGGGAUGCUGUGAUGAAAUGCUUUACUUCCUGCCUAAGUUAAACAAAACAAAAACACC